rnacentral:piRNA from 1 species
UACCUUAGUUGCCUGCAAUUCUU